rnacentral:rRNA from 1 species
GUCUUAUUGAAUUUAAUAUUAAGUCUGGCCUGCCCAAUGAUUUUUUAAUGGCCGCAGUAUUUUGACUGUGCAAAGGUAGCAUAAUCAUUAGUUUUUUAAUUGAGAACUAGAAUGAAAGGUUUAACGAAAAAAUUUCUGUCUCUUUAUUAUUGUUUUAUAAUUUUAUCUUUAAGUGAAAAAGCUUAAAUUUUAUUAAAAGACGAGAAGACCCUAUAGAGUUUAAUUUUUAAAAAUUAUUUAUUAAUUAGAAUUUUUAAAUGUAUAGUUUUUAGAAAAUUUUAUUGGGGUGAUAAAGAAAUUUAAUAAACUUAUUUUAAAUUUGAACAUAAAUAUAUGAUAAAUUGAUCCAUACAUAUAAUGAUUAUAAGAUUAAAUUACCUUAGGGAUAACAGCGUUAUUUUUUUUUAGAGUUCAAAUCGAUAAAAAAGAUUGCGACCUCGAUGUUGGAUUAAAUUAAAGUUUUGGUGUAGAAGCUGAAAUAUUAGGUCUGUUCGACCUUUAAAAAUUUACA